CACGUAGGCACCAAGCGUUGUCCGGAUUUAUUGGGCGUAAAGAGCUCGUAGGCGGUUCGGUAAGUCGGGUGUGAAAACUUUGGGCUCAACCCAAAGCCUGCACUCGAUACUGCUGUGACUUGAGUCCGGUAGGGGAGUGGGGAAUUCCUGGUGUAGCGGUGGAAUGCGCAGAUAUCAGGAGGAACACCGGUGGCGAAGGCGCCACUCUGGGCCGGUACUGACGCUGAGGUGCGAAAGCAUGGGGAGCGAACAGG
rnacentral:rRNA from 1 species